rnacentral:rRNA from 1 species
AUGAAUCCCUUCGCGAAGAAGCCAACGCCGAGAGAGGCGAUCAGGAACAGCAAGCGGGAGCUGACGAACGCGACAAGAGGUAUUGAGAGGGACAUUGGGACAUUACAGCAAGAGGAAAAGAGACUGGUUGCUGAAAUCAAAAGGACUGCAAAAACUGGCAAUGAGGCGGCAACUAAAAUUCUGGCCCGUCAACUGAUCAGGUUAAGACAGAAAAUAUCUACUUUACAAGGUAGCCGAGCUCAGAUUCGUGGCAUUGCGACACACACACAGGCGAUGCAGGCCAACACUUCAGUCUCUGCUGGCAUGCAGAGUGCGAGUAAAGCGAUGGGAGCUAUGAACAAGCAAAUGGAUCCCGCCAAGCAAAUGAAGGUAAUGCAAGAGUUCCAAAAGCAGUCAGCACAAAUGGAUAUGACGAACGAGAUGAUGUCUGACUCAAUCGACAAUGUCUUAGACGAUGAUCAGGCUGAGGAUGAAACUGAAGAGCUUGCUAACCAGGUGCUCGACGAGAUUGGUGUUGACGUUGCCUCACAGUUAUCCCCGGCUCCCAAAGGAAGAAUUGCUGGAAAGAAGGUUCAGGCUGAUGAGAGUUCGGAAUUGGAGGAGCUCAAGCAGAGGCUGGCUGCUCUGAAAAAUCCAUAA